rnacentral:rRNA from 1 species
GAUGAACGCUGGCGGCGUGCCUAAUACAUGCAAGUCGAGCGAAUGGAUUAAGAGCUUGCUCUUAUGAAGUUAGCGGCGGACGGGUGAGUAACACGUGGGUAACCUGCCCAUAAGACUGGGAUAACUCCGGGAAACCGGGGCUAAUACCGGAUAACAUUUUGAACCGCAUGGUUCGAAAUUGAAAGCGGCUUCGGCUGUCACUUAUGGAUGGACCCGCGUCGCAUUAGCUAGUUGGUGAGGUAACGGCUCACCAAGGCAACGAUGCGUAGCCGACCUGAGAGGGUGAUCGGCCACACUGGGACAGAGACACGGCCCAGACUCCUACGGGAGGCAGCAGUAGGGAAUCUUCCGCAAUGGACGAAAGUCUGACGGAGCAACGCCGCGUGAGUGAUGAAGGCUUUCGGGUCGUAAAACUCUGUUGUUAGAGAAGAACAAGUGCUAGUUGAAUAAGCUGGCACCUUGACGGUACCUAACCAGAAAGCCACGGCUAACUACGUGCCAGCAGCCGCCGUAA